rnacentral:lncRNA from 1 species
CUCAGAACGAGGCUUUCAUUUUUUUUUUUCUUUAAAUCUGUGUCAGUUCACAAAUGCCAGUCUGUAAGGGGCAUCAAACUGAAAAAUACAGGUUGAAAUAAAGUGGCUGAAGCCCAGGAAAAAGAGGCUAUUUCAGCAGUCUGAAGGGCUGAGCAGAGAGGCUUCUUUUCCCUAUAAUAAGGGUCAGAUCCUUGAAGAGCUGGCUUCAUGCGGAUACGUGAAUGAUGAGGCUGGCAGAGUCCUGGGCGAGAGAGCAGGACCCCAGUAAGGCCCAAUUCUGCCCUGGGAGUGGUAGUCAGUGGAAACUCAGGGUUCCAAGCUUCUCUUCUCAAAUGACUUGGAGGUUCUGUUUAUAGGUCAUUCUACCUGAAGGAUCCAUGUAUCAAGAUAGCAGCCGGACAGCAUGGACCAGGUUUAUACCUGGGGACAGUAAAGAGCAUCAUAUCUUGGCAAAACCAAGCAAAACAGAUGUGGGUUCUAAUUCUUCCUCUACCACGUGGCCAAAUUGCUUCCAUUUACAUCAUCUAGAGACAGCAAGGAAGCGUGUGAUUCUCAUGCCUGGAUUUGUCAUGUUGGGGGACUUGGACAAGGCAAUUUCUUUCACAGAUAGCAGUUUCCCUAUUUGGGAAAUAAAGCAUCCACCCUUUAAUAUAACUAUAAACUCUUGAGAAUGACCUCCAGAAAGUUAUGGGCCAGAUGAUCCAAUCAUGGUAAGUAACCCCAAAUUUUGUAAUUCAAUCAAUGUCACGUUCCUUUUUUUUUUUUUUUUUGGUCUUUUCCAGGGCCGCACCCAUGGCAUAUGGAGGUUCCCAGGCUAGGAGUCUAAUCAGAGCUGUAGCUGCUGGCCUACGCCAGAGCCACAGCAAUGUGGGAUCCGAGCCGCAUCUGUGACCUACACCCCAACUCACAGCAGUGCCAGAUCCUCAACCCACUGAGCGAGGCCAGGGAUCAAACCCACAACCUCAUGGUUCCUAGUCAGAUUCGUUAACCACUGAGCACGACGGGAACUCCUCAAGUUCCUUCUUAAUAUAAAUGCUCUUUGGAUUUAUAUAACACUUGUUUUAAAACAAUGCUUGGGACUCUUUUUUUUUUUUUUUUUUUUUUUUUUUUUUCUUUUUAAGGCCUCAUCCAUGGCAUUUGGAAGUUCCCAGGCUAGGGAUCGAAUCAGAGCUGCAGCUGCCAGCCUACGCCACAGCCACAGCAAUUUGUGAUCUGAGCCUCGUCUGCCACAUACAUCACAGUUCACAGCAAUGCCAGGUCCUUAAUCUCCUGAGCGAGGCCAGGGAUGAACCUGCAUCCUCAUGGAUACUAGUCAGAUUUGUUUCUGCUGAGCCACAACGGGAACACCCCAGGGACUUUUGCACUUGGCCUCUCUCCUAGAAAGAGAGGUCUGUCCACAUCUUGGUUUACCAUUGACCACUCAUUUCUCUUUCCAGAGGGUAAUCGUUCCACAAAGUUCCUUUGGAGAACUGACUGCCAUUCUUAGCUAUGCAUUUUAUUUAUUUAUUUAUUUUAAAUUUAUUUUUAUUAGACUAUAGUUGAUUUACAGUGUUGUGCCAAUUUCUGCUGUACAGCAAAAGUGACCCAGUCAUACAUAUAUAUGUAUAUAUUAUUUUUGUCAUACUAAAAAAAUCCAUUAUGUUCUAUCCCAAGAGACUGUAUAUAGUUCCCUGUACUAUACAGUAGGACCUCAUUGCUAAUCCAUUCUAAAUGUAAUAGUUUGCAUCUACCAACCCAAACUCCCCAUCUAUCCCUCUUUGUCCCUCUACCCCCAACUCUGGCAACCACAAGUCUAUCUAUGUCUGUGAGUCUGUUUCUGUUUUGUAGAUAGGUUCAUUUGUGCCAUAUUUUAGAUUCCAUAUAUAAGUGAUAUUAUAUGGUAUUUGUCUUUCUUUUUCUGACUUAAUUCACUUAGUAUAAGAAUCUCUAGUUGCAUCCAUGUUGCUGCAAAUGCAUUAUUUUGUUCUUUUUAUGGCUGAGUAGUAUUUCAUUGUGUAUAUAUACCACAUCUUCUUAAUCCAUUCAGCUAUGCAUUUUAUUUAUUUAUUUAUUUUUAUCUUUUCAUCUUUUUUUCUAGGGCCACACUCAGGGCAUGUGGAGGUUCCCAGGCUAGGAGUCUAAUCGGAGCUGUUGCUGCCAGCCUAGGCCAGAGCCACAGCAACCCAGGAUCUGAGCUGCAUCUUCGACCUACACCACAGCUCACGGCAACGCCGGAUCCUUAACCCACUGAGCAAGGCCAGGGAUAGAACCUAUAACCUCAUGGUUCCUAGUCAGAUUUGUUAACCACUGUGCCAUGACGGGAACUCCUCAGCUACGCAUUUUAGGUAGGACUGACUCAUCUCUUAUUCCAGAGGUGGACUUUCCAGAGGUGGACUUUGAUAGGUGUGUGUUAAUCUAUGAAGCCUGUCUACCUAGCAACACAGUUGGUUUAGAAAUGGUCACGUGAUGCAGUUUAAGCCAAUGAGAAGCAAGGAGGCAUAUGCUGAGGUUCUGGGGAUGAAGGUAUCUCACAUUUUAAGGAAAGCUGAUGAGAGUGAAGUUCAUCCCAUCCCUGUUUAUAAAUAAAUAUGCAGACCUAAUGCUUCUGGCCACUAUCUGAGAUCCAUUUCAUAUUCUAAGAUGAUAAUAAGGUAGAAAGCACAGAGAAGAAAAAGAUAGAAAACAGGUCUUUGGUCAAAAUAUUGAGCUAUCAGCCACAGAAAGAUUGCCCUACCUCUGACUUUUGGAGGCAGUCAUCAGUAAAGUCCCCCAAUUAUCCAAGCACACUUGAUUAAUUCUGUUAUAUACAACCAGUCUAUUGAGUUCCGUGAUGAAGACUAUUUCAAACCUGAAUAUUCUUUCCUGCUUAUCAAACUCCAUUGCCACAAAUAGCUUUUCUGUUAGAUCAGUUUCACAGACAGAUCCCAGACACUUAGGCAAGUCUCCUCAUGUCAAACAGAGCCAUGUUUUGCUUUGUGUAUAGACGGUGAUUCUUAGCAAGAUAAUAAAAAAUGUUUAUGCAAUACCACAACUUAUUCCAGUUAAAUCCGUGUGACUCAGAGGCUUAGACAAAACUGUAGUUUGGUUAUUGGUAAUUGUCUAGCAAUCUACACAAAAUAGGAUUAUUUCCGAUCUGAGUAUCAGGGGGCUACAUAAGAUGAUUUAAGACUGUUCCAAAAGACACUUCCUUGAAACUUCAGUUUACGCCCCAUGUAACAUCAGAUCAGAGUUGCCAGAUCCAGAGAUUUCACAUGUGUCAUUUUGAUAUUUACCAUAUUCCUGACUAUUUUUUUUUUAUAAUAUAAGAAAGGCUUUCAAUCCCAUGCUCUGGAGCAGACAGCCUGGGUUUGAAUCCCACCUCUGCCACUUCUGGCAAUACACCCUUGUGUGAACUCAGAUUUUUCUCCCUCUGUGCUUCCAUUUUCUUCUUUGUGAAAUCCUUUGUGAAAUGAGGAUAACAGUUACCUAUAUCAAAGGGUCUUUGGAAGGAUUAAAUCCAUGACCACUUUAAAUCCUUAAAACCGUGCCUAGCGCUCAGCCAAUGUAGAUAUUUUUAGUGGUAUUUUAGAAAAUAUCCAAAUUAUGCGACAGCUCCUUACCUUAAAUGAUAUGAGCAUCCCAGCAGAAGUGUAGGCACUGUGCUAGGAAUUUUAUAUAAAGACAUUAUAUAUGAAGGCUUUACAUCCUCACAACAACCAUG